rnacentral:rRNA from 1 species
GACGAACGCUGGCGGCGUGCUUAACACAUGCAAGUCGAACGGAAAGGCCCUGCUUUUGUGGGGUGCUCGAGUGGCGAACGGGUGAGUAACACGUGAGUAACCUGCCCUUGACUUUGGGAUAACUUCAGGAAACUGGGGCUAAUACCGGAUAGGAGCUCCUGCUGCAUGGUGGGGGUUGGAAAGUUUCGGCGGUUGGGGAUGGACUCGCGGCUUAUCAGCUUGUUGGUGGGGUAGUGGCUUACCAAGGCUUUGACGGGUAGCCGGCCUGAGAGGGUGACCGGCCACAUUGGGACUGAGAUACGGCCCAGACUCCUACGGGAGGCAGCAGUGGGGAAUAUUGCACAAUGGGCGGAAGCCUGAUGAAGCAACGCCGCGUGCGGGAUGACGGCCUUCGGGCUGUAAACCGCUUUCGCCUGUGACGAAGCGUGAGUGACGGUAAUGGGUAAAGAAGCACCGGCUAACUACGUG